AUGUUUUUUAGUAGUAAUAAAAUCUUUUAAUCAUCAUCUGUUCUUAUCAGUUUAAUAUCUGAUACGUCCCCCAUCGGGGGACUACAUAUUACAUGGAUUUUUUGAACAGGGAGUCGGAAAUGGGGCUUGCUCCGUCCGCUCCACGCAUCGACCCGGUAUUGCAGUACCUCCGGGAACGGUGCAACACUU
ensembl:snRNA U2 U2 spliceosomal RNA